rnacentral:rRNA from 1 species
AUUGAACGCUGGCGGCAGGCCUAACACAUGCAAGUCGAGCGGAUCGGCGGACGGGUGAGGAAUGCCUAGGAAUCUGCAUGGUAGUGGGGGAUAACGACAGGAACCGGGAGCUAAUACCACAUACUAUCACAUGAGCAUAGGUGGGAUUAGCUAGUUGGUGGGGUAAAGGCCUACAAAGGCGACGAUCCGUAACUGGUCUGAGAGGAGGAUCAGCCACACGGGGACUGAGACACGGGCCAGACUCCUACGGGAGGCAGCAGUGGGGAAUAUUGGACAAUGGGCGAAAGCCUGAUCCAGCCAUGCCGCGUGUAUGAAGAAGGUCUUCGGAUUGUAAAGCACUUUAAGUUGGGAGGCGUUACCAACAGAAUAAGCACCGGCUAACUUCGUGCCAGCAGCCGCGGUAAUAC